rnacentral:tRNA from 1 species
GCGCUUGUAGCCCAAUCGGCAGAGGCGCCUCGUCGAGAGCGAGGUCAGUGGAGGUUCGAGUCCUCCCAGGCGCACCA